rnacentral:piRNA from 1 species
UGGGAUUGCAAUGUAACAAGUGGACGCCA